GACGAACGCUGGCGGCGUGCCUAAUACAUGCAAGUUGGGCGCUGAAGGUUGGUACUUGUACCGACUGGAUGAGCAGCGAACGGGUGAGUAACGCGUGGGGAAUCUGCCUUUGAGCGGGGGUCAACAUUUGGAAACGAAUGCUAAUACCGCAUAAAAACUUUAAACACAAGUUUUAAGUUUGAAAGAUGCAAUUGCAUCACUCAAAGAUGAUCCCGCGUUGUAUUAGCUAGUUGGUGAGGUAAAGGCUCACCAAGGCGAUGAUACAUAGCCGACCUGAGAGGGUGAUCGGCCACAUUGGGACUGAGACACGGCCCAAACUCCUACGGGAGGCAGCAGUAGGGAAUCCUCGGCAAUGGACGAAAGUCUGACCGAGCAACGCCGCGUGAGUGAAGAAGGUUUUCGGAUCGUAAAACUCUGUUGGUAGAGAAGAACGUUGGUGAGAGUGGAAAGCUCAUCAAGUGACGGUAACUACCCAGAAAGGGACGGCUAACUACGUG
rnacentral:rRNA from 1 species